rnacentral:rRNA from 1 species
GACGAACGCUGGCGGCGUGCCUAACACAUGCAAGUCGAGCGAUGAAGCCCUUCGGGGUGGAUUAGCGGCGGACGGGUGAGUAACACGUGGGUAACCUGCCUCAAAGAGGGGGAUAGCCUCCCGAAAGGGAGAUUAAUACCGCAUAACAUUAGUUUUUCGCAUGAAAGACUAAUUAAAGGAGUAAUCCGCUAUGAGAUGGGCCCGCGGCGCAUUAGCUAGUUGGUGAGGUAACGGCUCACCAAGGCGACGAUGCGUAGCCGACCUGAGAGGGUGAUCGGCCACAUUGGGACUGAGACACGGCCCAGACUCCUACGGGAGGCAGCAGUGGGGAAUAUUGCACAAUGGGGGAAACCCUGAUGCAGCAAUGCCGCGUGAGUGAUGACGGCCUUCGGGUUGUAAAGCUCUGUCUUCGGGGACGAUAAUGACGGUACCCGAGGAGGAAGCCACGGCUAACUACGUGCCAGCCGCCGCGGUAAAAC